rnacentral:tRNA from 1 species
GGAGAGAUGGCCGAGCGGUUCAAGGCGUAGCAUUGGAACUGCUAUGUAGACUUUUGUUUACCGAGGGUUGAGUAGUGCCUUUUUUCU